AAGGACAGGGCACCACACUGACUGCGCGAAAACGUAAGCCACGUCUACCAUGCUAUUGAUACUUUUUCUCUUCAAAAGCAGCGAUGCCCCGUGAAAGGUGACUCUCUAAAGUGGUUCUACCAGCCAUGUGGUCAGCUUUGGGGCUGGUGUUUCAACCAAGGAGAGGAAACGUAGGUAAACUCGGUUGAAAUAAUAACCGGAAAAAUUGCACCAAAAGAGGUGAGGACAGAUCCAGAACCUUCCUGAUCGAUUCAGCUAGCAUCUGUGAGGAUGCCACUGGACCUUAGCCAAUGAAGUUCACUGCAGUCGUGACUCCAGAACCAUCUGCAGCUUCCACCUGAGAGCAUCCUUUCUGCCCUCAAAUCCCUCCCUUUCCUUCUCAUAUCUGAAAAUCUCACCAUAAUACAUAAUUCUUCCCUUUUCCUUAACUAACCUCAAAUGCUGCCAAUGAUUUUUCUGAGACGUCUCUUGAAUCUGUCAUGUUUUUCUAUCUCUGUGGCCACAGCCAGUCUUCUUAAUCCUGCCUUCUCUUUAUAAAACCCAUCUUCCCCUCUUGCUACCUCAGUGAUUGUAGUCUAAAACUUGGUGCUCCUACCUAAAUAAAUAUAUUUUCCCCAGGA